rnacentral:rRNA from 1 species
AUUGAACGCUGGCGGCAUGCCUUACACAUGCAAGUCGAACGGCAGCACGGGAGCAAUCCUGGUGGCGAGUGGCGAACGGGUGAGUAAUAUAUCGGAACGUGCCCGGUCGUGGGGAUAACGUAGCGAAAGCUACGCUAAUACCGCAUACGAUCUACGGAUGAAAGCGGGGGGAUCGCAAGACCUCGCGCGAUUGGAGCGGCCGAUAUCAGAUUAGGUAGUUGGUGAGGUAAAGGCUCACCAAGCCGACGAUCUGUAGCUGGUCUGAGAGGACGACCAGCCACACUGGGACUGAGACACGGCCCA